rfam:Triticum aestivum genome assembly, contig: Triticum_aestivum_CS42_TGACv1_scaffold_458210_5DS
CAGGUACUCCCUCCGUUCGGAAUUACUUGUCGCAGAAAUGGAUGUAUCUAGACGUAUUUUAGUUCUAGAUACAUCUAUUUCUGAGAUAAGUAAUUUCGAACGGAGGGAGUAUCAU